UGUCUACUACUGGAGACACUGAUAGUGUAAAACCCAGAGUCUUCGGUAAUGGACGGG
rnacentral:pre_miRNA from 1 species